GACAUUGGACUGGGGAGGAGGAAGCACAACUUUAUUUUCUGGCCCGAAGCUGGGUUGGUAUUUGGGGGAGUUCUUGGGAACACAGUGUGUCUGUGCAAUUUCAACCCUGGGGGAUCCAGGGGACUCCAGCCAUUCCAGAGGAGAUAAACCUGCCAGUAAUUUCAGCAAAUGAAACGUGGAACACGUCAAGGCCAGAGGAUGGAAAAGGCUCCAGUUUUGAUAAAAGGAGGCCUGCUUGGCUUGGAAUCCUCUCUCCUGCUGGUUGGGAGAUGCAAAGAUGUUUCCAGAGAGGGGCUGAUGAAUUGAGGGGAAAGAAAUGAGCCCAGUAUGAGUCCCCUUUCAGGGCUGAGCGUGUAUAAAACCAAACAACUUGGAACCGCUCCAAGAGAGGGGAUUAAAGCAACAUGUUAUUCUGAGUGAUUGCUUAAUUUAUUGAGCUGCGGCUGGAUCUGUAAUGAAAUACAGCCCUUGUAACUGAUAACCUCCUGCUGCCAUUGAACUUCUACAAUUAAGGAAUAUUUUCUGAGUUUCUCUGGAACGGCUCUGAAUUUUUAGCCUCUGUGGUAGGGUGCUUCUGAACAUUUGUUUUCCAGGCAAUUUUUUUUGAGUAUUAGGCUGAUGUUAAUAAAUAAGCAGCAUUUUAUUGAGUGUUUUGUGGGAACCAGGAACUUUAUAUACAUUGUUUCUAAUCCUGACACUAAUCCUGUCAAUAUCCAGUGAAAUAACCCCUAUUAUUCCCUAUUUUACAGAUGUGAAGCCACGAGACGUUAGGUCAUUUUCUAGAGUGGUGCUGUCCAAGACAGUAGCUGUGAUGGCUCCUUGUGGCUAUUGAUGUGUAAAUUAGUUAAAAUUAAAUAAAUUUUAACAUUUACACC
rnacentral:lncRNA from 10 species